GAGGCGGGCGUCAGCGGCUACCUGGAGGAAGGAGCUGCACCUUGCCGUCGCAUCGGGAUCCGGCGGUGAAGAAAGGGAGCACGCCGCGCUGGCGUGGCGGCCAGUGAAGGCUGGAGCUGGAUUCGUGAAGGCGGCGGCCUCGCUCCCCCGUACCGGCCGCCUCCGUGUAGAGGAGGCACCACCCGGCGUGGAGCCGGGCCAAGUGGUCGUGCCGCCGCCGGAGGAGAAGGGUUGGCGGCGUGGGGGUCUCUGUCCCGGAAUUGCGCCCUUGUUCUUCCCAAUUCUAAAGCAUCAACAUCGUCCCCCGCCAUGGUGCAUCGGCUCGUGGUCAACCGGGACCCCAAGUUCAACAAAUUCGUCGAGAUGGUCAAAAGGUUCUGAAGCACAACUUUGAUACCAAGAUUACCUCAACGAUUAAUUCCUCCAACUGUAAGGUUCCGGGGGUUGCCAUAUUGGUCUGUUUGCAAUCUCGAUUUGCAAUGUCGAGGGGCGUUCAACUGAACAAUUUGAAGAGCAUGCCCGUCAAGUAGAUGUGCUUCCUGGAAGAUGCAAUAUCACGGUCUGCAUAGACAUUCCACUUGCCGCUGAACUUGCUGCACCUUUGGCCGAGAAUUGUAUCUGGCGCCAGGUGAGAGGAUCUGGUGCUGAGAUUUCAGGUUCUGAUGGACCAGCCACGGCAACGGAAAAGGUAAAAAGCACUGCCAUCUCGGGCAUCGUGAUUUUUCCUAAUAGAGCUUAAGUGGGCUAAUAAUUUUUUUUUGUUCUAUAUUUGUGGAAGAUUACUUAUUUUGUCUUCUACUAAGGAUAAAAAAGUGCAGUCAGAGGGGAAAAAGUAAGCCUUUAUUAUUUAAAAAAAGAAUGUUUAGAGUAGUAUUGAGAGAAGUACAUCAUAUCCUAAACUACCAAGAGGG